rnacentral:rRNA from 1 species
AGUGAACGCUGGCGGUAGGCCUAACACAUGCAAGUCGAACGGCAGCACAGUAAGAGCUUGCUCUUACGGGUGGCGAGUGGCGGACGGGUGAGGAAUACAUCGGAAUCUACUUUUUCGUGGGGGAUAACGUAGGGAAACUUACGCUAAUACCGCAUACGACCUACGGGUGAAAGCAGGGGAUCUUCGGACCUUUCGCGAUUGAAUGAGCCGAUGUCGGAUUAGCUAGUUGGCGGGGUAAAGGCCCACCAAGGCGACGAUCCGUAGCUGGUCUGAGAGGAUGAUCAGCCAUAUGGGAACUGAGACACGGUCCAGACUCCUACGGGAGGCAGCAGUGGGGAAUAUUGGACAAAGGGCGCAAGCCUGAUCCAGCCAUACCGCGUGGGUGAAGAAGGACUUCGGGUUGUAAAGCCCUUUUGUUGGGAAAGAAAAGCAGCAGGUUAAUACCCCGCUGUUCUGACGGUACCCAAAGAAUAAGCACCGGCUAACUUCGUG